rnacentral:lncRNA from 1 species
UGAAGAGAGGCUGGCCAGAGGAGGAAAGGAGAAUAACUCAGUUUUAGGUAAGCCUCCCCUAUAUCCUAGAAUAACCUGCCUCUUCGGCUGGGAAGCGGAGGGAACCUUCUCUUCCUUAAAGACAGGGUCUCGCACUGUCACCCAGGCUGGAGUGCAGUGGUGCAACCCCACCUCCCGGGUUCAAGCAAUUCUCAUGCCUCAGCCUCCCAAGUAGCUGGGAUUACAGAGAUUCCAUCAAGAAGACUUCUGCACUGGGUUUGAGGCUCUGACCAUCCACAGUCCUGGGUCCUAUUCUCAACUCCAAAAACACCGCAAGGAGAGUGGUGGACUUCCUCUCAAGAGGAUUGGGCAUCUGUGUCUGGUGAAGUCUUUAAGGAGGCCCAAUAAAUAACACCUCUUUCCUUCACUGAAGCUUUAAGGCUUGUUGGGAAUUCAGA